GACUUGUGAGAGGUCUUACAUCGUUAUCAUCUGUGGGCUUGUAUCCGUGUUACCACGGCCACUAAACACAGCUGCCUGGGUUAAUGACUUGGAGCCAUCUACGUGGGACUGUUUCUCUUGACACCCACUUCCCAGGCCUGAGCCCGAGCCAUGGGAGUGCUUGACUGGCAAAUUAGCAUCGUGCUCUGCACAGUGACUUUCCAGGUAGAAGGAUCAGCCUUCUGGACAGUAAAACUGAGGAAUUUAAACUGGAGCAAUCUUGCUGCAGAGAAAUCUGUCCCUUGCAAGGUGGCAGAGGAACAUCCUAUUCCGCAAAGCAACCCCACUUUAGAAGUCCUUCCCAGAAGACAUCCCCAAUGGAGCAACUUGCAAGACAAUAACUCUGCCCUUUGAUCUUCACCACCUGGGCACUUCAAGCCAUUUUUACCUCCGUGGCAGAGGCAGAGCUAAGAAAGAACGUGUUUCAACAUAAGCUGAUGUACCGAGAGCUUUGGUCUCCCCCAUCUCUCCUCCUGCACUGGGACAUGAUGAAAGCCAAACCGACUACACAGACCUCUUAGGACCAGAGCACUUCAGAAAAGCACACUAAACACCUUGUGG